rfam:Gossypium raimondii Chr05_contig_600, whole genome shotgun sequence.
AAUAGGAGAAUGACAAAUCAGAUUUUUCCUCCUGAUUUUCAGUUUUUUCCCCCUAAAAAAAUUUAAAUCAAACUAAAAAUGUUGAAAAUUAGGAGGAAAAAUCUGAUUUGUCAUUCUCCCAUU